GUAGUUUGCUCCAACGCAACUGUGUUGGGAGCGUUUCACCUGGUAGCUUGGAAGCUAGUUUGCUCCAACGCAACUGUGUUGGGAGCGUUUCACCUGGUAGCUUGGAAGGUAGUUUGCUCCAACGCAACUGUGUUGGGAGCGUUUCACCUGGUAGCUUGGAAUUUAGUUUGCUCCAACGCAACUGUGUUGGGAGCGUUUCACCUGGUAGCCUGGAAGGUAGUUUGCUCCAACGCAACUGUGUUGGGAGCGUUUCACCUGGUAGGGUGGAAGCUAGUUGCUCCAACGCAACUGUGUUGGGAGCGUUUCACCUGGUAGCCUUGAAGGUAGUUUGCUCCAACGCAACUGUGUUGGGAGCGUUUCACCUGGUAGCCUGGAAGGUAGUUUGCUCCAACGCAACUGUGUUGGGAGCGUUUCACCUGGUAGCUUGGAAGGUAGUUUGCUCCAACGCAACUGUGUUGGGAGCGUUUCACCUGGUAGCCUGGAAGCUAGUUUGCUCCAACGCAACUGUGUUGGGAGCGUUUCACCUGGUAGCCUGGAAGCUAGUUUGCUCCAACGCAACUGUGUUGGGAGCGUUUCACCUGGUAGCUUGGAAGGUAGUUUGCUCCAACGCAACUGUGUUGGGAGCGUUUCACCUGGUAACUGUGUUGGGAGCGUUUCACCUGGUAGCCUGGAAGCUAGUUGCUCCAACGCAACUGUGUUGGGAGCGUUUCACCUGGUAGCUUGGAAGGUAGUUGCUCCAACGCAACUGUGUUGGGAGCGUUUCACCUGGUAGCUUGGAAGGUAGUUUGCUCCAACGCAACUGUGUUGGGAGCCUUUCGCCUGGUAGCUAACCUGUGUGUUGUAUUUAUUCAUAUUACUUAAUUGUCUAGCAUCUGCAUUAGCUAGCUAUAGCUGCUGUAUACGGGGAAUGGUUUAACCUAGCGAUUUUUAGUACUUGCACUUGGUCCUAUGAACAUCAACACCGGCAAAUUCAGAUUUGUAGUACUGCAAAUUUAAAUCUUUGACAAAUUUUCCAUUUCAAUAUUUUGUCAAAUUUCACAAAGUCCAUUCCCAGAUAUGUACGAACUUCGGCAAUGGAGGCAAGUAAGGUUUAUCACUUUCUAUGGCAAUUUACUUGAGUUAAAUUAUUUGCUCUAUAAAAACAUAUGGUUCUCUCUGUACCAUAAUCAUCUUGCUAGAUAUGCCUCAUGCUGUCCUUUAUAUUACUUAUUUGCAAGGAAUUUACGCAUUGACAAUUAUUUAUGAACGUUGAACCUUUAAAGAAUUGAAUUAUUUUUGUUCAGGGGCGGGUUUGCCCCUGAACAUUUAAUUUCAAGAUCAGUGUUCUACAGUGUUUGUCAAAUUCAGGACUGGCGCUGGAAGCUGUAGGUGGAGGGAAGCCCAGGAGUGGUGCAGCUCUGCAGAUGCUGAAGGUGUGCCAAAGGGUCACGUGUGUUCCUGAAGGGACUGUGGCGACGCAGUCGGAGGUCCCUGCGGUGGCGGUCAGCGGGAGGUGUCAAGACCAACCAGCUCCUCGUCCAGGAAAGGUGAAUUCUUCAGACCGUUCUUCAAAGAGUAUGAUGACCGAACAGUUGAUCUACAACGAUGGCCUACUCCCCAUCCACCCUGAGGAUCCCUGGCUACACCUACAAUCCAAUCUACCCCAGACAUAACCACUCGGAGCUCAACAACUCCUACAACUCCUCCUGCCUCCUACACACCAUACUGUUACCACUUUACCAUUUUAACUUUAAAAAAAAGUACUGUAAUUCACACCAUGUUGUAGGAAAAGCAUGUUUAGCUCAAUGAUUUAUACAUUCUAUUUCUGUGACCCCAACUAUUGUAUUUCUAACCCAGUUACCUCGUAACCCUCUUUCUAAGGGAGCGACUAAAGGGACAAAGCUGGAGCAAACCUGAGCUUAACAAUCUUUCUAAUCUUUCUUUCAAAUGUCCUAAAUUGAAACAUAUAAAAUGCCUAAAGUAACUUGUCUAACAAAACAAAAAGCCAACCUAAUACCGAAACUUAACCAUCUAACUAAAGUGCCUAAACUCUCUUACCUUAACCGAGUACCUAAACCGAACCAUUUAACUAAACAUCUCAAAGGCCUAAACUCGCUUACCUCAACCUAACCUAAUACCCAAACUUAACCAUCUAACUGAAGAGCUCAAACACCUAAACUCUUACCUUAACCUAGUACCUAAACUGAACCAUGUAACUAAACAUCUCAAAGGCCUAAACUCGCUUACCUCAACCUAACCUAAUACCCAAACUUGACCAUCUAACUUAAAAGCCCAAAUGCUUAAACUCUUACCCUAACCUGGUACCUAAACUUGACAAUCUAACUAAGCAUCUCUAAUAACUAAACUCUUUCCUAAUACCUAAACAAUCUUUAAUACAAUCACUAAUGCCUAAACUUAAACAAACACCAAUAAUAAAAGUUAACCAUCCUUAAUCUUGAACCCAAACCAGACUUGUCCCUGGGUCGCUCCACUUUGUUUCUUUAAAGGCAUCUCUUUUCCCCUGCAUCUGUGUUUUGUUCCUUGAGGACUUCAGGUGGGGUGCCAUAGAGUGUUGCAUGGGUUCUUGGGUCAAUUGUGGCACCCAUUGCACUCCUGACCAUCCCUGGAAGAAGGGAUCCCCUCCACUGCGUUUCUUCUCAAGAUUUCUUCCUUGCUGAUUCAAGGGAGUUUUUUCUUGCCCGUGUGGGGGCAUGGGUAAAGGGGGGUGUCACAAAUAUUUGGCCUGUUAAGCCCUUUGAGACUGUUAUGGUGAUUAAGGGCUAUACAAAUAAAAUUGAAUUGAAUAAAGAUACUUCAUCUUUACAGAUUUUGUUUUGGGGAAUUGGGACAGCUGAGCAGCUUAAGCAUCCUUACUGGUGAAUCUGAUCUGACGAUAUCAAUCAUAGGACUAGGAAGCUGCAGAGUUCUUCCAAGAAAGGGUUCCAAUCCAGGAUAGCUUUUAACACACUUUAUUUGUUAAAGUAUUUCGGUAUGGUAACUACGGAGCAAAAGCAGGUGGAAGCGUGUUGAACACGUGCUGAGCGUCUCCCUGAUGAUCAAAAACAUUAACCCUUUGUUUGGUAGCAGCUAGAAGAUUCUGAAGUCCAACUUCUCUGUCGAGAUUGAACUGAAAUGCAAUGCACAACAUGCAAUUUGUCCUUAUCUCAAUUUUUAAAACUUUUUAUAUUUUUUAUUACUAUUUAUUGUGCUGCUCUCUCUCUCGCUCUCUCUCGCUCUCUCGCUCUCUCGAUCUCUCUCUGUAUUAAUACUGUACUUGACUUGGGAAGCCCUGCACAAGAAUUCCAAUGUGUUUGAACUGUCUGGUUUAUGCACAAAUGGCGAAUAAAAACCUUUGAACCUUUGAACCUUUUUUUUUUUUUUUAACCUUUUUGAGAUUGAUAGGGUGAAGUGGGCGUGGCCUAUGUGAC
ensembl:lncRNA